CCCCUCUCAGGGUCGCACCUGGAAAGUUCCCAGUACUCUACCAGUCUCAGCUAGGGAGGGAGAGUCAAGCAGAGGCCUACCCAUUCCAUUCCUAGCUUGGGCAGUGGCUAGCAAGUGGAAGGCAAUCUGCUACAAGU
rnacentral:snoRNA from 1 species